rnacentral:lncRNA from 10 species
CUUAAAAGCAUAUGGUGAUUUUAUCAUGACAUUGCUUUUUAUAUAUUUUUUUAAAAAAUAAAAAUGCAAAGAAAUCUAAAGAAGAAAAAUACCAACUCUCCUGGAAAAGACAGGAAGUGACAUUGAACUGGUUCUUAACAUAUAAUAAUAAAAUGAUUGAGCUCUUUCUGAGUCAGUCAAUUCACUAACUGCUUUACAUACAUCAUAUCAUUUAGUUCUCAUAAUAAAUCUGAAAUUUCAAUGAUAAAUCUCACUUGUACAGAGUAGGAAACUACGGCUUAGCAAGAUUUUUGUUCAAGGUCAUUUGGCUAAUAAAUGACAGUGCUAGAACUUUAAAUACCACAACCACCUGGUAAAAAGUGCUGUGGGUGUUGGUCUGGAAUACACCCAGAUAACCAGCCUCCCUGUCUCCAAGGCCUGGGUCGUUAACCUCUUCACCAUAUUCAGUAGCUGGGUAAGUGAAGGAGGAGGGGAGGAUAUUGCUGACAGAAUAAACUAUAUAUAGAAUAGAAGAAUGAGGACUUCAGGCGUGGUUGGAGCCUGACAUUUCUUUUUCCUGUGUGGAUAUCAUGGUAUUUGUGGACAGGGAUUUGGCUGAAAAGUUUAGUUGAGGUAACAAUAAGGAGUACCUUGCCUAACGUGGACUUCCAUCAACAGGCCUCUGGUUGUCAGACAGGGACAUCCAUACCAGUGAGGAUCAUCAAUGUGAAAGGCGUCAUCAGUCUUAACCAGUUGUAGGAGACAUCCCAUCUACACAAUACAGCCCAAAUGAUCAGCUGCAUUCCUGCACAGCCAUCUCUUCAGUAUAUAUAAAUAAAGGAGAAGAGCAGUAUGAUUUUAUUACCAAAUUCACAAAAGGGACAAGCUGUGAAACGUCUAGAUUCCAGAGCAACAGACUGUGAUCCAUUCCCAGCAACCCCUCCCUACCGUCUGCCACAAGCUCCCAUAAAGCAGGAAUCAGAGCUAGACUGGCUCAGCUUAGGUAAGAAGUGAGGCUUCAUGUGAAAAAGACUACACCUACAAAACAAAUUCUCAAAUAUAUGAUACAUGCUAAGAUUUUGAACUUGACCCAGAAGUUUGUGGUAUACACACAAAUACAUAUACACAUGCACACGGUCAUAUACCUAUGCUUAAAAUUAUUUUUAGUGCUUUCCAAUUAAAAGCAUAAAUUACUCCAUAAAAAGCUUGCAUAUUUUAAAGUAUAAUUUUAUAAAAAUAUAAAUAUAGAAAAGUAGAUGUAUCAUAAGUAUGUAGAUAAAUGAUUUUCCACAAAAUAUAAUGGAACAUUAUCAAUAUCCUGGAAAAGUGCC